GCUUUCAACAUCCCCGUUCCGGCCAGCCCGGAACUGAAAGC
rnacentral:sRNA from 12 species